GGAAUAUUGGACAAUGGGCGCAAGCCUGAUCCAGCCAUGCCGCGUGUGUGAAGAUGGCCUUCGGGUUGUAAAGCACUUUUGUACGGGAAGAAAAGCACUCGGUUAAUACCCGGGUGUCAUGACGGUACCGUAAGAAUAAGCACCGGCUAACUUCGUGCCAGCAGCCGCGGUAAUACGAAGGGUGCAAGCGUUACUCGGAAUUACUGGGCGUAAAGGGCGCGUAGGCGGCCUGUUAAGUCGAACGUGAAAUCCCCGGGCUCAACCCGGGAACUGCGUCCGAUACUGGCAGGCUCGAAUCCGGGAGAGGGAUGUGGAAUUCCAGGUGUAGCGGUGAAAUGCGUAGAUAUCUGGAGGAACACCGGUGGCGAAGGCGGCAUCCUGGACCGGUCUUGACGCUGAGGAGCGAAAGCUAGGGUAGCAAA
rnacentral:rRNA from 1 species